rnacentral:rRNA from 2 species
AGAGUUUGAUCCUGGCUCAGGACGAACGCUGGCGGCGUGCUUAACACAUGCAAGUCGAACGGAAAGGUCUCUUCGGAGACACUCGAGUGGCGAACGGGUGAGUAACACGUGGGCAAUCUGCCCUGCACACCGGGAUAAGCCUGGGAAACUGGGUCUAAUACCGGAUAGGACCACUUGGCGCAUGCCUUGUGGUGGAAAGCUUUUGCGGUGUGGGAUGGGCCCGCGGCCUAUCAGCUUGUUGGUGGGGUGACGGCCUACCAAGGCGACGACGGGUAGCCGGCCUGAGAGGGUGUCCGGCCACACUGGGACUGAGAUACGGCCCAGACUCCUACGGGAGGCAGCAGUGGGGAAUAUUGCACAAUGGGCGCAAGCCUGAUGCAGCGACGCCGCGUGGGGGAUGACGGCCUUCGGGUUGUAAACCUCUUUCACCAUCGACGAAGGUCCGGGUUCUCUCGGAUUGACGGUAGGUGGAGAAGAAGCACCGGCCAACUACGUGCCAGCAGCCGCGGUAAUACGUAGGGUGCGAGCGUUGUCCGGAAUUACUGGGCGUAAAGAGCUCGUAGGUGGUUUGUCGCGUUGUUCGUGAAAUCUCACGGCUUAACUGUGAGCGUGCGGGCGAUACGGGCAGACUAGAGUACUGCAGGGGAGACUGGAAUUCCUGGUGUAGCGGUGGAAUGCGCAGAUAUCAGGAGGAACACCGGUGGCGAAGGCGGGUCUCUGGGCAGUAACUGACGCUGAGGAGCGAAAGCGUGGGGAGCGAACAGGAUUAGAUACCCUGGUAGUCCACGCCGUAAACGGUGGGUACUAGGUGUGGGUUUCCUUCCUUGGGAUCCGUGCCGUAGCUAACGCAUUAAGUACCCCGCCUGGGGAGUACGGCCGCAAGGCUAAAACUCAAAGGAAUUGACGGGGGCCCGCACAAGCGGCGGAGCAUGUGGAUUAAUUCGAUGCAACGCGAAGAACCUUACCUGGGUUUGACAUGCACAGGACGCGUCUAGAGAUAGGCGUUCCCUUGUGGCCUGUGUGCAGGUGGUGCAUGGCUGUCGUCAGCUCGUGUCGUGAGAUGUUGGGUUAAGUCCCGCAACGAGCGCAACCCUUGUCUCAUGUUGCCAGCGGGUAAUGCCGGGGACUCGUGAGAGACUGCCGGGGUCAACUCGGAGGAAGGUGGGGAUGACGUCAAGUCAUCAUGCCCCUUAUGUCCAGGGCUUCACACAUGCUACAAUGGCCGGUACAAAGGGCUGCGAUGCCGCGAGGUUAAGCGAAUCCUUUUAAAGCCGGUCUCAGUUCGGAUCGGGGUCUGCAACUCGACCCCGUGAAGUCGGAGUCGCUAGUAAUCGCAGAUCAGCAACGCUGCGGUGAAUACGUUCCCGGGCCUUGUACACACCGCCCGUCACGUCAUGAAAGUCGGUAACACCCGAAGCCAGUGGCCUAACCCUCGGGAGGGAGCUGUCGAAGGUGGGAUCGGCGAUUGGGACGAAGUCGUAACAAGGUAGCCGUACCGGAAGGUGCGGCUGGAUCACCU